UUCCGGGAGGACAAGGGCUGCAACCGGAUCGGCUUUUCUUGAGAACAGCCGAUUAUAUUGUGCAUUUGAAUUUGCAACUUAAUGUUUUGCAAGCUCUUUCCAAGAUUUAUCAACUUUCAUGAAUUUACUUAACUCUCUCUCUCUCUCUCUCUCUCUCUCUAUACACACACACACACACACACAUAUAUGUAUUAAUUAGAAAUUAACAUGUGGCUUAUCUUAUGUACGUGUCAGAUGGCAUACGUACGUCUUCUUUUAUUAUAUGAAAAUUAUGAGGUCUUCUCUCGUUAAUAUGAUUAAUAUGAUGUUUGUAGUUA
rnacentral:lncRNA from 1 species